rnacentral:rRNA from 1 species
UACGUAGGGCGCGAGCGUUGUCCGGAAUUAUUGGGCGUAAAGAGCUCGUAGGCGGCCUGUCGCGUCCGCUGUGAAAUCCCGGGGCUCAACCCCGGGCCUGCAGUGGAUACGGGCUGGCUGGAGGCAGGCAGGGGAGAACGGAAUUCCCAGUGUAGUGGUGAAAUACGUAGAGAUUGGGAAGAACACCAGUGGCGAAGGCGGCUAUCUGGACGGUUACUGACGCUAAGACGCGAAAGCGUGGGGAGCAAACAGG